rnacentral:lncRNA from 1 species
UCCAUUGUUAUUUAUUUCCAUGCAUCUUGACUUUCCUAUAAAAUCUUAAGAAAUAACAUUAAAAACACCAAUAAUUACUUAAGAACUUACAAUUAUUUCAAGUUAAAAAGUCUUAAAUGUGCUACAAAAAUCUAGCACAUCAACACCCUCAACUUAAAACAAUUGCUUGUCCACAAGCAACUACAUAACACCAUACUACGAUGCUUAACCAAGAGACACAUAAGAUACCUAUCACAGUUGAUUAUCAAGUUUAGCUCAAAACUCAUGCCACUCUCCACGUUCAAUUACUUAUAAAUCCAAUUGUGCAUAUCAAUUAAGAUUAACAAUGUGACCCAAAGGAAUCAAGAUAUAGCAUCAAUUCAGCAACAAUAACCUUGCAUAUUACUUAAGAACUUACAAUUAUUUCAAGUUAAAAAGUCUUAAAUAUGCUACAAAAAUCUAUCACAUCAAAACUCCCAAAGUAGUCCCCCACUCUAUCUAAGAUAAAAGUAUAUGUAAUUCGAAAGCUAUGAGUCCAAGAUUUCUAAGGUUCUCAAGUGUCAAAAUCAAUAAGUUUCCAAAGAAGUUCCUAGUUUUCAUGAGAUUAAAGUGUAUGUUCUGAAAUAUGUUGUUUUAACACUUUAUCUAUCUUACAAGUUUGAGAAUAAAGAAAGAAUGCAGAUUUAGAAUGAAGUCCAAUGACUCACGUGAUUUACAUUACCUAUUUUCUUGUUCAUGAUUAUGAUGGUUUUAAUUCAAGCUAUGUGAGCCAUCUAUACUAACAUUUCUAUAAGGAUUUAUGAUAUUGAUUAUUUAACUACAUACACCCCUGUAUACUCAGUACAUUCCUAAAAACUGAUCCACAUAUAUAUCUAUGUGUUACAUUGUUUCAUAAUGUAGGUACAAGUUGUAGCGCACAUACCAUAUUCAGUCACUUUGUAUCUUCCAGUCAGCAGGUGAUUAGUCUUUUUUAUUCAAGGGCUUGAGUUAGUUAUACAUUUUGAGAAGUAUUGUGUUUUCUUUAUUCAGUUGUAUUGAGUUGGGAUAGUUGGAAGUCAUGACCCAACUACCCAUAGUCAGUACUAGUAGAGGCUUCAUAGACAGUCAGUAGAGUUAAUGUAUUCAAUUUCAGUUUUAUUUUGUAAAAGUAGAGUUGUAAUCUUGUAAAGUUCAGAUUUGUAUUGAUCAAGUUUAGAAAAGUUUUAUGUUCUCACUAAUUUUAUACAAAUUUAAGCAUUUUAUUCAGUUGCUUAUGAGUUAUGCAAGUAGAAGGGUUAGCAUGGGAUCACUUGUGACCCUAUGCACCAUGUGACGUCUCGGGACCCUAUUUUGAGGCGUUACACCCAUUACCCAAAUUUAGAAAUAAUAAUAGGGAUAGAGCACCAGGCUCUAAAUCCUAAGGUAGUGUAAAUAGUGAUCGUUUAAAUCCUCUUAUAUAGCUAUUGAUUUUGGUGUCAGUCCCAAGAUUUUAGCAGGACCCUUUUUUAUAACUACCCAAGUAGGUGUCUCUAUUAUAGCCCGACCGGUAUACAGGAACUACUCAAUUACGAUGUCUCAUAAAGUCACUUCGAUUGAUAUCAUGGAGUUAGAGAUGACAGAUUUUAACAUUAUUCUCGACAUAGAUUGGCUUCACUCAUGCUAUGCUUCAGUUGAUUAUAGAAAUAGAGUAGUUCAUUUUCAGUUUCCAAAUGAACUAGUCCUUAAAUGGAGGGGUAGUACUACAGCACUUAGGGGUCAUCUUAUUUUGUAUCUUAGAGCGAGUAAAAUGAUAGCCAAAGGGUGUAUUUAUUAUCUUUUUUUAGUCAAAGACUCUUAAUCUUGAGUCUGUUUCAAUAGUGAGGGAAUUUCCAGAUAUGUUCCCUUGAUAUAUUUUUGGACUCCCUCCUAAAAGGGAAAUUAACUUUGAAAUAGACCUUCUUCUAGAUGCCCGGCCUAUCUCUAUCCUAUUAUAUAGAAUGGCUCCAGCUAAACUCAAAGAGCUGAAAGAACAGUUGAAAGAUCUCCUAGAUAAGGGAUUCAUUAGGCCCAGUAUUUCCCCAUGGGGCACACCAGUUCUAUUCAUGCAUAAGAAAUAUAGUUCUCUUAGAAUGUGCAUCGACUACCAUCAGGUCAACAAAGUCACAAUCAAGAACAAAUAUCCACUCCCCAGAAUUGAUGACUUAUUCGACCAACUUCAGGAAACCAGUUAUUUUUCUAAGAUAAACCUCAGAUCUGGCUAUAUCAGCUUAAAGUCAGAGAAUGUAACAUUUCAAAAAUAGCUUUCACAACUUGAUAUGGUGACUUCGAGUUUCUAGUCAUGUCCUUUGAUCUAACGAAUGUCCCGACAACUUAUAUAGACUUGAUAAACCAAGCAUUCAAGCAAAACUUGGACAUGUUUGUCAUAGUCUUCAUUGAUGACAUUUUUGUCUAUUCCCAUAAAGAAAAUGUUCAUGUAGACCACCUCAGAAUAGUUUUGUAGACUCUUAGAGCCUAUCAGUUAUUCUCUAAAUUUAGUAAAUGCAAAUUUUGGCUAAGAUCGGUAGCUUUUCUUGGCUAUGUUAUUUUUUAUGGUGGCAUUAGAUUUGAUCCUCAAAAUACCAAAGCAGUGAGGAACUUCUCAAGACCUAUCUCUCCAUCAGAUAUUAAGAGUUUCUUAGAUUUGGUGGGCUAUUACUGGUGGUUUGCUGAAGUUUUUUCAUCUAUUGCAUCCCCUAUAUCCAUAUUAACUCAAAAUAAAGUUAAGAAUCUGUGGUCAGAUUCUUACAAGAAGAGUUUUUAGGAGUUAAAGACUCGACUCACCACAGCCAUAGUUUUAACGUUACCAGAUGGUUCAGAUGGGAUUGUUGUGUACUGUGAUGCUUUUAGAUUUUAUUUACGGUGUGUUUUGAUAUAGAAGGGUAAGGAUAUGUACUAUUCCUCUAGAUAGUUUAAGACCCAUGAAAAUAAUUACCCUACCCAUGAUCAUGAUCUAGCAGCUGUUGUGUUUGCCUUAAAGAUUUGGAGGAACUAUUUGUAUGGUGUGCAUGUUGAUGUGCUCAUAGAUCACAAAAGCUUACAGUAUGUGUUUUAGCAGAAAUAUUUGAACCUCCAGAAGAAAAGGUGGUUAGAAUUAUUGAAAGAUUAUAAUAUGAGUGUUUCGUAUCACUCGGGCAAGGCCAAUGUAGUGGCAGAUGCCCUAACUAGAUUAUCUAUGGGUAGUGUUUCUCGUGUUGAACAUGAUAAGAAAAAUUUACUUUAGGAAGUUUAUUAGCUUGCCAGGUUAGGUGUUCGUUUGGUUGAUUCAGCUGAGGGUAGCAUUUGGGUUCAAAAUAGUUCAAAAUCUUCUGUGGUUGCCGAAAUGAAAGAAAAGCAAGAUAGAGAUCCAACUCUAGUGAAGCUGAAGGAGUUAGUCAGAGAUCAUAAAGUAGAGGUUUUAUCCCAAGGGGGAGAUGGUUUUUUGCGUUGCCAGGGUAGACUGUGUGUAACGUGGGUUGAUGAGUUGAGACAGCAAAUUCUUGCAAAAGUACAUGGUGCACAUUACUCGAUUCAUCCAGGGACUGCAAAGAUGUGUGAUCUAUGGGAAAUCUAUUGGUGGAGUGGGAUGAAGAGAGAUAUUGCAGAGUUUGUAGCUAAGUGCUCCACUUGUCAACAAGAUAAGAUUGAGCAUCAGAAGCCUAAUGUGUCUAUGUAGGAGUUUAGUAUUCCUAUUUGUAAGUGGGAAGUGGUGAACAUGGAUUUUGUGACAGGUUUACCUCGUACUCAUCGUAAGCAUGAUUUGAUUUGGGUUAUUUUAGAUAGGAUGACCAAAUCAGCCUAUUUCUUAUCAGUCCAUACUUUUUAUUCAGUCGAGGACUAUGCCAAGCUCUAUUUUAGGGAGUUGGUUAGGUUGCACGGUGUUUCAUUGUCUAUCCUCUCAUACAAAGGUACUCAUUUUACGUCUCACUUUUAGAAAGCUUUUAAGAAGGGUCUUGGUACCCAAGUUCACCUCAGUAAAGCCUUCCUCCCUCAGAUAGAUGGUCAGGAAGAGAGGACCAUUCAGACCCUUGAGGAUAUGUUGAAAGCGUGUGUAGUUGACUUCAAGGGAAGUUGGGAUAAUCACUUGCCUUUGAUUGAAUUCGUAUAUAACAAUAGCUACUAUUCCAAUAUUCAGAUGGCUUCAUUUGAGGCUCUAUAUGGAAGGAUAUGUAGGUCUCCUAUUGGUUGGUUUGAGGUAGGUGAAAUCGCUUUGAUAGGGCCUGAAUUGGUGUUUGAUGCUUUGGAGAAAGUUCAACUAAUCCGGGAAAGGCUUAUGGCAGCCCAAAGCCAACAAAAAUCUUAUGCAGAUGUAAGGAGAAAGGACCUUGAGUUUGAGAUUGGAGAUUUUUUAUAUCUAAAAGUCUCUCCCAUGAAGGGGAUAAAGCGGUUUGGUAAGAAAGGGAAGCUUAUUCCCCGAUAUAUUGGCCCUUACAGAAUUAUGAGACAUUUCGGAAAGGUGGCUUAUGAGCUUGAGUUGCAUGCAAACUUAGAAUCAGUUCCUAGUAUUCCAUAUCUCUUUUUUUAAGAAGUGUAUUGGUGACCCAGCUGUAGUUGUUCCCUUAAAAAGCAGAGAUGUUCAGAACGGCCUUUUUUUAUGAAGAAAUUCCAGUUGAGAUCCUUGAUCAAAAAAUUCAUAGACUAAGAAAUAAAUAAGUUCCCCUAGUCAAGGUUCUUUGGCGGAAUCGGUCUGUUGAAGGAGCCACUUGAGAAGCAGAAGUAGAUAUGUGGACCAAUUACCCUCAUCUCUUCUCCACAAACUCAAUUUAGCUUAAGUUACCAAUCCUCUUAGAAUUUCUCUUUUCUAUGCCCAGUUUCAACUGCAAAUCAUUCUCAUGUCAGUCAUGCAUUCACAGAAUCAGUUCAGUCAUGUUUCAAACUCUAUUAUGUAAUCAUGAGUUCAUCACGUAUAUUCAGCAUGUAAUCUCAAUUCCUUAGUGCUUUCAGUUUAACCAAUCUUAUUUGAGGGCGUAUGUUCCCAAAGGGGAGAUAUUGUAAUACCCCAAAAAUUCAAACCAAUGUUAGAGCCAUGUUUCAUGCUCAUUCAUAGUACAUUCUAGUUCUUGGGUAGCUUAUGAGCGUGUUUUAUGUGUAUUAAGGCCCCAGAUAACACCCAGCUUUUAGACGAAUCAAAAUAUUUCCUACCAUUUAAGUUUUUGGGAAGAAUGUUGCUUUAGUCAAAUUUAAACAAGCGUAUCUUUAGCCCUCGUAAAAAAAUUCCAGCUCAAGACCCACCAAAUUUUAGGAAAUUAAAUAAGCUUUACAGCGAUACUAAUUUUGCCUUAAUCUGAUACACGGGUGAGAAGUUAUGGAACUUUUAGUUAAAAAUAGUAGCCCAAUAUGAUAGGGCCGCAUCGUAGAGAUGACCAAAAUCACGUUCAUCCUAUUUUAGGGGGCCACCGCGAUAAUGCCGCAUCGCACCAAUGGGUAUUUUCAUAUUCAGUGAGGCACCGCGAUGGCACCGAUUCGCGCCAAGGUGUCAGUUUGGAAUUGUCCAUUUUCAGUGAUGCAAAGCGAUAGCACCAUGUCAUGCCGUUGGAAAAAACGAGGAUUGUCUUUUUCCAGUAGCCACACUCGAUAAGCACUGCGUCACACCAGAGCCAAAAAUUGAGAUUUUUGUCUAGUUUUGCGAUUUAAUUUCCAGGGAUCGUUUGGUCUUUUUCCAUUACCCUAAACUCAUCCAAAACACGUAAUUACAACCCUAAAGGGAGAUUAUGUGCCCCAUUACUCAUAAUUCCUCUCCAAGAAACUAAUCAUCUUUCAAGAACAAACCCUAGCCUUCAAGAUUCAAGAUCAAUUCUCAAGAAAAACCCCAAGAACUCUCACGAAUUCAUUAACUCAGGUGUUUAAGUGUUCAUCCAUGGGUCCUUUCCACCCAUAAAGUCCAAGUAUCAAAUUUUAAAUUCAAAGUUGAGAUCUUUACAAGUUAUUGUGAUUUUAAAUUGUGAUUUUAAUCAUGAAUUCCCAUGAAUCUUGAUUUUAUACCAUGUUUACAUGAAAUUAUUGUUGUUAUUGAACCUCACAUGUCCAAAUUAUUCAUUAAUUUAAAUCAUAAUCAGUGAUGUUGAUGUUGAAAUCAUGCUAUUACUAUAAGCUUUAAACUAUUUACAUGCUUAGUUUAAACUAUGAAUAUCAAGUGUUUGAUGAAAUGCCUACAAGAAUGAAUUUUGAAUGAAUGUUUUCACAUUAUGUCCUUAAAGUUUAGUACUAUUUUGCUAUUAUUGCUAUUGAGUAUUGGGGGUUAUGAAUACCCGAAAACAUAGUUAUUUACUUAGUCUUCGUAUCUUCAAAAUAGUUUCAGAUAAAUCAAGAGUGUCAUCAGUUCAGUCAGUUAUCAUAAUCAGUUAAGCUUAGACAGUUCGGUAUUUCGAGUCAAUUCAGUUGGGAGAAGGACUUAGCAUCGAACGAACCCAGGGAUGGGGGCUCACCGUCCAGUUGAGGGUGUGACCUUUAGUAGCAGUCCCCGCAUUCCAUAACUAUGUAGCCAGCGUAGGUUGAGAUGUUAACCUUCCAGUUGAGGGUUGAUCUCAUACGGGUACCUGCUAGUUGAGGGUAACCCUUAGUCCUUUGGGACAAUACUUUAGUGGAUCCAUACAGCCAGUGUUGGUACCCAUGGCAUGGUACUGACACUCUUCCAACUGGGGUCAUAGAUUGGACCCCAAAUUACUUAUUGGGGCAUGUCAGUUAGAUAAUAGCUCCCACAGUCUUAGUCCAGUAAUCAACUCAAUAAUUCAGUCUCAGCUUUGCUUGACCAUAGCAUACAGAUAUUAGUUAUUCAUGUAUCAGUACUCAGUAUAUCUCAGUUUACAAAUUAUAUUCAAAAUAUGUUUUAUGCUUGGUCAUGCAUUCUCAUUAUUUAUAGAUUCCAUGCAUUUUAUUCAAAAUUUCAUGCUAUUCUUUCAGUCAGUUAUUACUCUGGUACAUAAAUCCAUGCAUAUCAGCCUACCUCAUUUAGCAUACCAGUAUAUUCAAAGUACUGAUCACAUACUCGUUUCUUGUGCUAUGAUGUAUCAUAUCAUAGGUUUAGAUGCUCAAUUCCCAAAUUGCACAUUAACUUUCCAGAUUAUCAGACGUAGCAGUGAUGAGUCCUCAUAUUUUAAGGGCAUAGUUUAUUUAUCUCAGCUAUUUCAUCAAUUUUUAGUAUUUUUCUUUUCAGUUAGAGCUAGUUGGGGAUUUGUCCCAUUAUCUCCACAGUCAGUCGGUAAAGGCUUUCCUGAAUAGUACAGACAGUUAGUCAAUCUUCAGUUUUCCGUUGUCAUUAUAAGAAGUUAUAUCAGUUUUCUUAAAUUUGUUUUACAGACUUUAUAGAACUAUGAUUUAAAACCUUAUGGCAUUCAUCGGUUAAAUUUUGCAUAUAAUCUAUUGUUAUCAGUUUUAUUUAGUGCUUACAGUAGGCGCCAGCUCAUGGGUUAGCUUGUGGUCCCUUGGGACUGCAAGCACCGUGUGGCGCCCAGGGUGUACUCUCGGGGCAUUACAUUGACAGAGCUAAUUGAGGUUGGGAAAGAUUAAUUAGUCCAAUUUAGGUUGUAUGACCUAUCUUAUGGAAUUUGAUGCUAGACAUUGCCAAAUUUUAGUGUAGCCCAAAAUUAGUUUGGCACUUCAUGUUUCUAAUCUUUGUUUGAUAGAAUAAGUGAGGACUAAACCCUAAACGGUCGAAAGACGUUAGUGGGUGAUAUUAAAUCCACGGCUAAUUUACUAGAUCUGUGAUUAAGUUAAGAGUAGUUAAUUAAAUAUGUUGUCUCAUUGAUAAAUGUUAUUCUUGUGUCAUAUGCCUCAUUUUCUAUCGUUGUGAUAUCCAUUGAUAACUUGUUCAUAUUUUAUAUUGAUUUUAUCUGUAUUUCACUUUUAGUUUCAAACCCCACAAAAAUACUUGUAUCUUAGGUUUUAAUUUAGCAACUUACUUUUGUUUCGAACUUACUCAAUCACCACUAACAAUGUUCCCUGUGGACUCGACUCAGACUCUUUGCUUGGUACAAUAUAUUGAUAAUAUUUGUGACACCUAUUCAAGAGUGUAAUCUGAGGAUUAUCAAAAAUGUUGCCGUUGUCGAGGAACAAUUUAGCGUAUUGAAUUAGUUUGGACUUUUAGCUUACUUGCUUUGAUUCAAACUUGUGUAUGUGUUUGUGAUUUUGUUUUGCUUCUUGUGUUAGGUUGAUUUUUGUUGCCUUAUACUUGUCACUAUGGCAUCAUGAAAUACAAAUGAAUUUGGUGGUUGCAAAUCCUAUCUUGAUGAUCCAUGUCCUUAUGAUAGUAGGCCCACUUUUGGCAAGAUUAUAAAUAUGCUCCCCAGAAAGAGGUGUGUGCACCAUCUCAAUUCUAUCGAAAGUAUGAUUGUUCUUUACGUGGUGGUCGAGAUGGUCAUAGACUGAUUGUCCAAAUUAUUGGGCCCCCUCCACUAGUUAUUCCAACAUAAAUGCUAGUUCUUCUUAUGAGUUUGAUAGGUCACAUGAUGUAACAAAGGAAUAACACCAUGCAGACACAAGGGUGUUGAAGCAAUACUUCAAACUAUCUUAGAUGGUGACUACAAUGGGAGAGGAUAUUCAUCUGUUACAUCACUUCAUGGCAAUAUUUGGAAAGGAAUGGGAAAAAAAAAAAGUUGGUGAGGAUGCCAAUCUUUCGAGUACUAUAAAUAUACCCAAUCCUCAAAAAAAGUUGUUAAAUAAGAGAUUUCAAGCCAUGUGUGAUGACUCAAACAAAAGUAAUCAAAGUGAAGAAAUUGCUAUAGAAGAAGAAGAAAACUCAUAUUCUCUAAGAAAUCAAAUAGAGGAGGUGUUGAAAGACACAAUGUAGACGAAUGAAAAAUGUGGAAAAGUCUUGUCUAAAUGGUGGGACCUAGUCCAAUAUAGUAAUGAUGAAAUUUUUUAAAAUAUUGAUUUUUCCACGGAAGGACUCUUGCAAGAGAUAAUUUAGUAUCAAAAUGAAGAAAAACAUGACAAGGAAAAAAUUGUAAGCCAAGAGUGGUAAUGAAUCAGGCUCAACAACUUGAAGUCCAUGAGGGUCAACUUGAUAGUAUGUUAUUAAUGAUGGAUGAAUCCCUUAAAUUUCAUGCUGAGUGAUGUCAAGUGUGGAUUCAAUUUGAAAUGGCUACCCAAAAAUUUUAAACUAAAUUGAAUGCAGAAUUGAAGCAUGUGGUGUGUAAAGUCAAACAAUUGUGCAUAACUGUGUCAAAAUGGUUUCCAAUGAAAAAUGAGGGUGAGCUUGAUGUUGAACAAUUCAUGGUGAUUUGUCAACUAACCAAAUCAAAAAUAAAGAUGGAUGCUGAAAUUAAAUAAGUGAUACUAGAGUUGCUAGAGAAAGCCAACCAAGUCCUUUGUGAGGACUCUAGUUCAUUUCGGAGUGAGAAUGUCAAGAAGAAUACAAAUCUAGAAAUAGGAAGGCGACCUCAUUCCAAUCACUUUUAGACAUUUUUUUUGGUUGAUGUGAUGAAAGUCAAACCACUCAGGCAAAUAAAGAAUUUUAGAGAUGAGGAACAAAUUCCUUCAUAUUGGAGUUUGUUAUUCCAAUAGGGAAAUAUGAUGUCCCUCACUUUAAUGUCAAGAAGUGCAGAAUACGGUGCUUAACUAAUAGUUUUUUGAUGUUUUCACAAAUUCCCAAUAAGCCUACGUGAAAUUUUGAUGUGGAAUUAGGUGAAAGGUUCAAGUCUUCAAAAUGGCGAGAUAGAGUUAGUCUCGUUGCUUCCUUAUCUUUUCCCCAAGUACCUCAAAGAGAAUUGUCUAAAGUUGGGAAAAAGAUUCAAAUCCUCAAAGUGGAGACAUAAAUGAUAAGUUUUCUAGUGUCGUUCUGUGAUGUUAAAUCAAGCACUAAAUGGAGGCAACCCAUCACUUCCAAAAUUUUACACUUAUCCCUUGAAUUUUAAUUUGUAGAAUACUUUAGGAUUUUAUUUUUAACUAAUCCACAAAAUUUUGGAGUUUUGUGAAUGAUUUGAACAGGGUAGGAUGCAACAUGGUGAUUGAAAUGGAGUGUGUUUUAAAAAGAAGGUCAGGGCAUGAAAAAUAGGAUUUUCUCAAACAACUGACUAAGCCUCAGAUAUCGUUAAAACGGUAAGAAGCCGCUAAAGUGGAAGGGUUCUAAAGUGGCCCAUAGUCCUCUUGUCACGACCCGAACCAGGGCCUGGCCGUGACGAGCAUUUAGAACCUUGAGGCCCGAAACACCCCUAUCUGUCUGGUAAUCAUGCACCUAAUUCAUAUGAUCAAAGUAAUACGGAAGAAACACAAUAUAACAGAAACAUGGUCAAGAAUCAUAUGAAAACAAAAAUGGGGAAUAGUGUCCCACAAUCUAAAUCAACAUCUCUAAAACCGUCUGCGAAAUCUCUACUACAUGACUGAAAUAAUGUCUAUCUGAAACUGGGACAAGGCCCCCAGCAGACCCCCAAAACUGAAUAUAGGAUAAAAGGACUGCAGGACAUAAGACCUUCUGAAACAUAGAAGGCUCACCACUUGUCUCUACAACUCUAUCUGAAUGAUCUACUGAUUUUCUUGACCCCUAGACUGGGCCUCUAAACCUGUGAGGUUAGAGAGGGGAGGGGGUCAGCACAAAAGUACUGGCACGCAGAGAUAUCAAAGCAAAACAUAAUAUUUUUACAAAAUAUAGUUAAAAGCCAUUAUAAAGCAAUUUCGUAUCAAAUCAUUUGAAAACAUAUGGGUGUAUUGUAAUAGUUUUUCUCAACAAUAAUAAAAUGAAACUGAGCUAGGUGGAAUAUCCUACAUAAUUUACACCAACUUCCAAACCCCGAUUGCCGCCGAGAUUAGAGUAUAAGUGAGGGAGAGACACACAAGACCACACAGCAUGGCGUCUCGACCUAAUGGUAGUGCCCAAGAUCACUUGGCUCGGGCUCCUACCUAUAGUCCCAAUUUGGGAAUGACAUGAUGUUAAGUACACAAGAUCGCUUAGUCUGGUACCAAUAUUCUGUGUCAGUAAACACGUUAUUCUAGCAAUGAGCCCUUGUGUCUCAAAUGCCUUCUUCAGGCAUCCACCUUUCUCAUGUAAAAUCAAUGCAUUCAAAUUUCAUUUUUUUAUUCAAUCACAUAUCGUAUUUUGAAGGGUAUCGUCAUACCCAACUUGCAAGUCAUUAAUAUCACAUCCACAUAUGCAUAAUCAUGUAAAAACCAAGGUGCUUCAUCAUUUACAAGUGGUGAACAAUAUUUAUUUCAAACUCAUGCUCUCUUUUGUUGAUCACAAUAUAAUAUGGAGUAUCAUAAAGAAAAUGACUUAGAAAUCAUGUUGAAAGCAAGAUAUUAGCAUUUGAUUGAAAACCCCCAUUUAAAAGCAUGCAUGUUGAUAAAACUACACCCAUGAGAUUUUUGGAUAACCCCACAUACUUCUAUUUCCAAGGAUAAUAGAUGUUUCUUGAAGCUUGCGGAUUGGUGAUUCCAAAUAUGUAAUUAUCUUUGAAAACCUAUGGUCAAAUCUUGAACUAUUUGGGUUUUUAUUUUGAAACCCUAAGGAGAAUCUUGAGCACUUUUGAUGAAAGAAUAUGUAUUUUGGGGUCCUUGGAACUAAAUCUCGUGUUUUAGGGCUAAGUAAGGGUGGAAAAGGACCACUUUGUCCUCAACACGAAGUGUUUAAAUCACCAGAAUUCCAUACAUAGGCGCCGCCCAUCCUGUUGCCUAUGUUCACAUAGGCACCGCCUAGGCUAUUGCCUUUGUUUACAUAUGCGCCGUCUAGGCUAUCGCCUAAGUUUACAUAGACGCCGCCUAGGCUAUCGCUUAUGUUUACAUAGGUGCCGCCUAGGCUAUUGCCUAUGCUUUCCAGUGGCCAUGGGCGAUUGGUUAGGCGACGCUUAUCACUUUGAAGGGUCAUAACUUCUUACUCGGGUGUUGGAUUUUAGCCAAAUUGGUAUCGUUGGAAAGCUAACUCGAAUACCUAUAAUUUGGCAUAUAGUAGGCUUCCUAAUUCGAUAUAUAUAGAUAUUUAUGGUCGAUGGAAACUGACACACUUUACAACGUCCACUAGAACUUAGUCGACCGAAAUAGUUUCAACUCGUCCUUGAGUUAAAGGACCUCUAUGGUCUAAAUUCAAGAUUGAGUGGAUUCACAUGCUACGCAAUAAUUAACAUACCAUAUUGGCAUGGGAUUGUAUGGCUUCAAAAUUAUCAACUCAUCAAAAUCAUGGUCUAUAUUGUAGCCCAAAUUGCGGGGCAUUACAUUAUCCCUCCUUAGGAUCAUUCGUCCUCGAAUGAUGAUGCGGGACACAGACAGACACGAUUUCAAGCAUAAUAACGGACGAGGAAAGAUAAGAUAGAAAUAGUACCUUCUGUCUCCUCCUCUAUCGAAGCAAACAAAUUGGGAUAUCUAAUUCUCAUGUUAUCUUCUGACUUCCAAGUCGCUUCUUUGACUUUCUGAUUCCUCCACAAUACCUUUACUGAGGCUAUCUCUUUGCUCCUCAGCUUUCAAACUUGGUGAUUUAAAAUUUCAACAGGCUCUUCUUCGUAAGACAAGGAGUCUGUCACUUUGAUACCCUCUACUGGAAAUACCAUAGAAUGAUCUCCAAUGCAUUUCUUCAACAUGGAUACAUGGAAUACCAGAUGAACGGAACGCAAACUUGCAGGCAAUUCUAACUCAGAUGCAACUGUACCAAUCUUCUUCAAAAUUUGAUAUGGACCUACAUAACGAGGGCUUAAUUUACCCUUUUUUCCAAACCGCAUAACUCCUUUCAUAGGAGAAACCUUGAGAAACACCCAAUCACCAAUUUCAAACUCUAUUUCUCUUCUCUGAACAUCGGCAUAGGACUUCUAACGACUCUGAGCAGUCUUGAGUCAUUCUUUAAUGAUUUUCACUUUCUCCAUCGCCUGAUGAACAAGAUCAGGUCCAUACAACUGAGCCUCACCCACUUCAUACCAUCCUAUCAGAGACCUACAUCUCCUCCCAUACAAAGCCUCAAAAGGAGCCAUCUUGAUGUUGGCAUGGUAGCUAUUAUUGUAAGUGACUUCAACCAGUGGCAGGUGAUCUACCCAACUACUUUUGAAAUCAAUGACGCAUGCCCUCAAAAUAUAUUCGAGGGUCUGAAUAGUACGCUCAGCUUGCCCAUCUAUCUAGGGGUGGAAAGUUGUGCUUAAAUUCACUUGUGUACCUAAAUCCUUCUGAAGGAUCUCCAAAACUGAGAUAAAAACUACAUACCUCUAUCGGAUAUAAUAGACGUUGGUGCCCCAUGCAAUCAAACUAUCUCCUUAAUGUAAAUCUUAGCAUAAACCUCUCCCGAAUAAUUAGUCCUCACAAGCAAAAAGUGGGCUGACUUGGUCAACCGAUCUACUAUCACCCAUAUAGAAUCAUACCGGUUUCAGGAUCUCAAAAGUCCUGUAAUAAAGUCAAUGUUUAUCAUCUCCCACUUCCAUAAAGGUAGGGCUAUCUCUUGGGAAGUACCACCCGGCCUCAUGUGUUCUACCUUCACUUGUUGACAGCUCAAACACUUGGACACAAAAUCAGCUAUAGCACGUUUCAUGUUAUUCCACCAAUACAAGGUUUUCAGAUCAUGGUACAUCUUAGUAGAGCCUGGGUGAAUGACAUACCUCAAAGUGUUCGCCUCAUUAAGGAUUCUUUCCCGUAGCCCAUCGACAUUCGAAACGCACAACCUACCCUGAAAUCUCAGAAUACCAUCCCCACCAAUUUCAAACGACAUAACCUUUUGUUGACCCACAUCUUUCUUGAUUUGCAUCAAGAUGGGAUCUUCAACCUGCUUCUCCUUAACUUCAGCACAAAGAGAUGACUUAGCUAACUUAUGAACAAUCACCUCUCCAUCUUCGAAAUCUAAGAUUCGCACUCCCAGAUUUGCAAGGCGAUUAAUAUCCUUCACCAUCUCUUUCUUUCCUUCUUCUAUAUGAGAAAGGUUGCCCAUAAACAACCUGCUGAAGGCGUCGGCUACAACAUUUGCCUUGCCCGGAUGGUAAUGCAGACUCAUAUCAUAGUCUUUCAAAAGCUCCAUCCAACGCCUCUGCCUGAGGUUCAAUUCUUUCUGUGAGAAAACAUACUGUAAACUCUUAUGGUCAGUAUAAAUAUCAACAUACACUCCAUAGAGAUAGUGCCUCCAGAUUCUAAGUGCAAACACCACAGCUGCUAACUCCAAGUCAUGAGUGGGGUAAUUGCGCUCAUGCACCUUUAACAGUCUAGAUGCAUAAGCCAUCACCUUACCACGCUGCAUCAAUACACAACCAAGUCCCACACGGGACGCAUCAUAAUAAACCAUAAAAUUAUCUAUACCCUUGGGAAGGGUCAAAACAGGAGCAGUAGUCAGCUUGUCCUUCAAUUUCUCAAAACUAUUUUCACAUAAGUCAGACCACAAACUUCAUCUUUUUCUGAGUCAGUUUAGUAAGCGGAGCAGCUAUGGAAAAAAACUCUGUACGAACCUUCUGCAAUACCCCGCCGAACCUAAGAAGCUCCGAAUAUCGGUUGGAGUCAUGGGUCUGGGCCAUUUUCUCACUGCUUCAACUUUCUGGGGAUCCACUCUUAUCCCGUCACUGGACACAAUAUGCCCCAGGAAGGCAAUAGCGUCUAAUCAGAAUUCACACUUACAAAAUUUGGCAUACAGCUGAUGAUCCUUAAGGGUCUGAAGGAUAAUUCGGAGAUGAUUGACGUGAUCCUCUUUGCUCUUGGAAUAGAUCAAAAUAUCAUCAAUAAAUACAAAGAAGAACAAUGCAAGAAACCGAUGAAACACUCUAUUCAUAAGAUCCAUGAAGGCUGCAGGGGCGUUAGUCAACCCGAAGGACAUGACUAGAAAUUUGUAGUGACCAUAUUGGGUUCGGAAGGUUGUCUUGGGUAUGUCUGACUCCCUAACUUUCAACUGAUGAUAACCCGAACAAAGGUCUAUUUUUGAAAAGCACUUGGCACCCUAAAGCUGGUCAAAAAGGUCGUCAAUCCUAGGAAGAGGAUAUUUAUUUUUAAUUGUGACCUUAUUCAACUGACGGUAGUCUAUGCACAUCCGAAGGGUCCCAUCCUUCUUUCGCACAAAGAGCACGGAUGCACCCCAUGGGAAACACUAGGAUGAAUAAAACCUUUGUCUAGGAGGUCUGCAAGUUGUUCCUUUAACUCAUUUAGUUCCGCGGGAGCCAUUCUAUAUGGCAGAAUAGAAAUAGGACGAGUGUCUGGCAAUACAUCAAUGCCAAAAUCUAUCUCCCUGAGCAGUUGGGGGACGAUUGGCAUUAGUCCACGGAGCCUGAGGUGGACUGGUCAGGACUAGAGGGACUCCCGGAGUAGGGACAAAUUUUAGAGUGUGAGCCCUGUUAUGGGUCCGCAUCCCAUAGGUGGGACGGACCUCAUCUGCCUGAGUAUUCUGAUCGACGAUACGACAUGGAGGCAUAACUGUGUUUCUGAAAAACAAGUGAUCAUUGAUUAGGGAACAGUACAGACUCUGAAGCACGAACUGAAUCACAAAGAAGAAAAAUAUUUCUUAAAUGCCUAGAAGCCUUCUUCUUAUAAGUGUGGCGCGCUACACACCCAUAAACAAGACUCUACCUGACGCGAUUUCUCAGACACCCUAGUACCAUGAACCGCGCUCUGAUACCAAGUUUGUCACGACCCAAGCUAGGGCCUGGCUGUAAUGAGCAUUUCGAACCUUGAGGCCCGAAAUACCCCUAUCUAUCUAGUAAUCAUGCACCUAAUUCAUAUGAUCAAAGUAAUGCGGAAGAAACACAAUAUAACGAAAACAUGGUCAAGAAUCAUAUGAAAACAAAAAUGGGGAAUAGUGUCCCACAAUCUAAAUCAACAUCUCUAAAACCGUCUGCGAAAUGUCUACUACAUGACUGAAAUAAUAUCUAUCUGCAAACUGGGACAAGGCCCCUAGCAGACCCCUAAAACUGAAUAUAGGAUAAAAGGACUGCAGGACAUAAGACCUUCUGAAACAUAGAAGGCUCACCACUUGUCUCUGCAACUCUGUCUGAAUGAUCUACUGAUUCUUUUGACCCCUAGACUGGGCCUCUGAACCUAUGAGGUUGGAGAGGGGAGGGAGUCAACACAAAAGUACUGGCACGUAGAGAUAUCAAAGCAAAACAUAAUAUUUUUACAAAAUAUAGUUGAGAGCCAUUAUAAAGCAAUUUCAUAUCAAAUCAUUUGAAAACACAUGGGUGUAAUGCAAUAGUUUUUCUCAACAAUAAUAAAAUGCAACUGAGCUAGGUAGAAUACCCUACAUAAUUUACACCAACUGUCAAACCCCAAUUGCCGCCGAGAUUAGAGUAUAAGUGAGGGAGAGACAUACAAGACCACACAGCAUGGCGUCUCGACCCAAUAGUAGUGCCCAAGAUCACUUGGCUCGGGCUCCUACCUAUAGUCCUAAUUUGGGAAUGACAUGAAGUAAAGUACACAAGACCGCUUAGCCUGGUACCAAUAUUUCGUGUCGGCAAACACGUUAUUCCAGCUAUGAGCCCUUGUGUCUCAAACGCCUUCUUCGGUCAUCCACCUUUCUCAUGUAAAAUCAAUGCAUUCAAAUUUAAUUUUUUAUUCAAUCACAUAUCGUAUUUUGAAGGGUAUCAUCAUACCCGACUUGCAAGUCAUCAAUAUCACAUCCACAUAUGCAUAAUCAUGUAAAAACCAAGGUGUUUCAUCAUUUAUAAGUGGUGAACAAUAUUUAUUUCAAACUCAUGCUCUCUUUUAUUGAUCACAAUAUAAUAUGGAGUAUCGAAACAUUAUCAUGGGAAUUUGAAAAUAAUUUAUCAUUCAUAUUUAUCCAACUUCCAUGGAAAAUCUCAAAUCACAUAUGCAUGGUUCAACUAUUGAAGUAUAUAGACAAAAAAUUCCCAUGACAUAAAGAAAAUGACUUAGAAAUCAUGUUGAAAGCAAGAUAUUAGCAUUUGAUUGAAAACCCCCAUUUAAAAGCAUGCAUGUUCAUAAAACUACACCCAUGAGAUUUUUGGAUAACCCCACGUACCUCUAUUUCGAAGGAUAAUAGAUGUUUCUUGAAGCUUGCGGAUUGGUGAUUCCAAAUAUGUAAUUAUCUUUGAAAACCUACGGUCAAAUCUUGAACUAUUUGGGUUUUUAUUUCGAAACCCUAAGAAGAAUCUUGAGUACUUUUGAUGAAAGAAUAUGUAUUUUGGGGUCCUUGGAACUAAAUCUCGUGUUUUAGGGCUAAGUAAGGGUGGAAAAGGAUCACUUUGUCCUCAACACGGAGUAUUUAAAUCACCAGAAUUCCUUACAUAGGCGCCGCCCAUCCCGUUGCCUAUGUUCACAUAGGCGCCGCCUACGCUAUCACCUAUGUUUACAUAGGUGCCGCAUAAGAUAUCGCCUAUGUUUACCUAGGCGCCGCCUAGGCUAUCGCCUAUGUUUACAUAGGCGUCGCCUAGGCUAUUGCCUAUGCUUUCUAGUGGCCAUGGGGGAUUGGUUAGGCGACGCUUAUCGCUUUGAAGGGCCAUAACUUCUUGCUCGGGUGUUGGAUUUUAGCCAAAUUGGUUUCGUUGGAAAGCUAACUCAAAUACCUAUUAUUUGGAACAUAGUAGGCUUCCUAAUUCGACAAAUACAGAGAGUUAUGGUCGAUGGAAGCUAACACACUUUACAACGUCCACUAAAACUUAGUCGACUGAAAUAGUUUCAACUCGUCCUUGAGUUAAAAGACCUCUAUGGUCUAAAUUCAAGCUUGAGUGGAUUCAGAUGCUACGCAAUAAUUAACAUGCCAUAUUGUCAUGGGAUUUUAUGGCUUCAGGAUUAGCAAUGCAUCGAAAUCAUGGUCUAUAUUGUAGCCCAAAUUACGGGGCGUUACACCUUUAAAGCGGAUGGUUAACGAGAGAUCAAUGAGGUUAAAGAGGCCCAUUUGUCCGCUUAAGAACAUUGUUGUGUAAUAGGCCAAGGGCACUAAAAUGGCCCUGUUACCGCUAAAGUGGUAGAUGCUAAAUUAGCCUUUGGCCCGCUAAAGCGGUUUAGCGGCAUCCGAUUAUUAAAAUAGCCUAAGCAAUGUGAAAAGUUUCAAAUGGUUCAUUUCACCUUCUGCCCUUAAAUAUCUAAAGUCUAUUCAUUUUAAUUACUCUAAAAAUCUUUCAAAUUGCUCUCAUUUGUACUCAUUGCACACAACUUUAGGUAUACCUCUUACUCCCAACUUUGAUUGGUAAAAUUCCUUCUUAGUUUCUUGAUUAAGGACAAAUUUGGGUGUGAAUUUUUUAUCUCUUGUGCCUUAAUUCUAGUUAUUUCUAUGUAUAAAAUAAUUCAAGUAGGAAAUAUAUUGGUGUUUAAAUCACUGGGGAAGUCUUGAGUACGUAAAUUUAUUAAUAUCAUUGAGAAUUUAAAUGCACACCAAGUGUUUGACGAUUUGCUUACAUAGAAUGUUGGUAGUUAUUCUUUGUUUCCCCACGAAUUGAUGAGUGAAUAUGGAUUAUCAUUCAUGUUUUGGGGUUUAUGAACUAUGUGUAAAAGUGUUUUGCGCAAAUAUUGGGAAAUCUAAUUUUGAGUUAGUGGGUACGAAGGGCCACUAAAGCGGCCCUACUCGGACCGCUAAAAUGUGGCCCGCUAAAGCUUCCCAUGAACACUAAAUCGUGGUCCGCUAAAGCUAGUGGUACAUAAGGCCUAUUUGUAGGUCUGAGAAAAAAUCUAACAGCUAAUGUUUGAGCCCAAAUUUGAUCUUAAUUCAUUUAUUUAGCUUUCCUCAAUCACAUAGUAUUAUUUUUACACAUUAAUCAUGAAAAUUCAUGUGUGUGUACUGUUUUUAGGUUUUCAAACAAAAAGCUAAGGAUGACGUACCAUCUCAUUGAUGAAGUUGAAGUUAGAGAAGAGUAUGAUCAAACUCAUUUCCUCUCUCUUGGGUGUCAAGAUGCAUACUCUUCUCAACUGGCUAGAAAGAAGUUAUUCCCCGAGAGGGGGAUUUUACUUGAUCAAGUUCUGAAAACUCUUCUUGAGUUCUACGAAUGAUUGGAGACCACCAUCUGGAUCUGUUUUGCUCCCAAACCAUGCAAGCCAAAUAAGCAAUGGGUGAGGGAAUUUUAUACGAAUCUCAAGGAAGUUAAUUUAAUAACCCAGAUUUACGGAAAGGGAUGAGAAGGUCAAUAGAGUGUAUGGGUUGCUAAACCCCGAUCCUUCUGAAUUCACGGCAAAAACUUGUGCCCAGGGAAUUGGUUGGUA